GAUGAAGAACGUAGUGAAAUGCGAUAAGUAGUGUGAAUUGCAGAAUUCAGUGAAUCAUCGAAUCUUUGAACGCACAUUGCGCCCCUUGGUAUUCCAUGGGGCAUGCCUGUUCGAGCGUCAUUUGUACCUUCAAGCCUUGCUUGGUGUUGGGUGUUUGUCUCGCCUUUGCGUGUAGACUCGCCUUAAAAUAAUUGGCAGCCGGCGUAUUGAUUUCGGAGCGCAGUACAUCUCGCGCUUUGCACUCAUAACGACAGCGUCCAAAAGUACAUUUUACACUCUUGACCUCGGAUCAGGUAGGGAUACCCGCUGAACUUAAGCAUAUCAAUAAGCGGAGGA
rnacentral:misc_RNA from 1 species